rnacentral:rRNA from 1 species
UACAGAGGGUGCAAGCGUUAAUCGGAAUUACUGGGCGUAAAGGGUGUGUAGGUGGUGAUGUAAGUUAGGUGUGAAAUCCUCGGGCUUAACCUGAGAAUUGCGCUUAAUACUGCAUUUCUAGAGUACUGCAGAGGGCAGUGGAAUUUCCAGUGUAGCGGUGAAAUGCGUAGAUAUUGGAAGGAACACCAGUGGCGAAGGCGACUGCCUGGAUAGAUACUGACACUGAGACACGAAAGCGUGGGUAGCAAACAGG